UACGGGGGGGGGGCAAGCGUUGUUCGGAAUUACUGGGCGUAAAGGGCUCGUAGGCGGCCAACUAAGUCAGACGUGAAAUCCCUCGGCUUAACCGGGGAACUGCAUCUGAUACUGGAUGGCUUGAGAUUGGGAGAGGGAUGCGGAAUUCCAGGUGUAGCGGUGAAAUGCGUAGAUAUCUGGAGGAACACCGGUGGCGAAGGCGGCAUCCUGGACCAACACUGACACUGAGGAGCGAAAGCGUGGGGAGCGAACAGG
rnacentral:rRNA from 1 species